AUGGCGAGAGAGUCCACGGCGAGCGAAAUCUUCCGCCGUCGCCUGAUGAUCGAUGGUGUCGACCGGAAAGACGCCAAAGACAACCAGUCCGCGGCGCUGGAUCACCUCCACGAUUACUACAAGAAGGCGCUCCAUCGACUACCGCCCAAGCUGAUCCCGAGCCUCCUCGAGGCCGGCUUCAGCUUCGGUUUCCUCGACCCCGUCUCCAACAUCAUCGCCAACACCGUCUCCCAAGAGCUACAAAAGAGUAGGAAGAGGAAGAGAUCACGGGCCGGCAGCUACACCAACACAAAGAAGGGGAAGGAAAAGAAGCAUUCGCAGGGACUGAGGGACACGGCCAUCUCCAAGAUCAUCACAGAGUCUAGCAAAGACAUCUUACUCGUACCCCGGUUCACCACACUCCGGAACAGCAGCAUUGCUGCCCGAUCUCUUGCCGGCCUCGUUACUUUCCUCACCUCCUACUUCCGCUACCUUACCACCUGUGAUGCCCUCCGCUACCUGCGUUUGUCAGAAGCCGACCUUCUCGUCGCUGUGCGUCUCAUCCACGAAGAUCGUGACAUCCACACCUUCACCAUCCACGUCCCUACUGCAAAAAUAGCUCUGCAAUGUGCUGCCAUCUCCGCGUUGCAUCCCACUGUCGCCAUAUUGGUGUCUCGAUCCUUCUCGCUGGCUUCCUGUGUGGACAAGGCCUCCAACCUUCUAGCGACACAGGACUGCAUCAGCUAUUCCAAUAUAAUGGAACUCUCCAAGUUAUUCACCUCCAGCAAGGAUACGAUAAACCAAUUGAAUCAUGUACAUCACGCAGUUUCAAAGAUGCAACGCAGAAAAAGGAAGACUAUUCUGGUUGAGCUUGGGCUAGAAAUCUCUCUCAAGAUGGUGCUUCUUGAUCGAAUCCAUCUGUUCUACCUCAAGGCGAUUUCCUGCAUACCAAAGAAUGACUUGUGCUCACGCCACCACCGUGGUCUCCUUAAGGCUGGCCACUGCUACGGUCCUUUCGAUCCUGUGACCAACAUCAUCCUCAACACCAUUUGGUAUGACACCAUGUUUCCUCCAAGUCAAGAGUUUGAGGUUGAAAUGAUCUGCACAAAGAGCCUCGCGCGCACCGAGUUCCUCUCCCUAUGUGGUCUUGUUGGCUACAUCUGUGCCUGCUUCCCUGCUUAUUCUGUAUAUGAAGCUAUGAAGUGCCUGCUUCUCUGCAACGCCAGAAUUGAUCGGGUCAUUGAUGAAACAGCAAAAGAACAAGGUCACGAUGGACACAUCCCUUUUUCUGAAUCUUUUGCGUAUGAUACAGCAGCUCGCACAGCACGUCAUCCCAGCCCUACUGCACUCGUAGAAUUUGCAAUGACACUGAUGCCACAGGUAGGGAAAACCCUUCAGUCAACACUUGAGAUUAAGCAGGUCCUCUCUUCCAGUGAUGUUUGUGCGAUAUCUAGAACUUUUUCACAAACAUUACCGCCUGCCAAAUCUUUGGAGCCGGUUGAGAAAUUGAGCGAGAAUGCCUCCAAGAUUAUAUCUGAGCACCAGGAUAACUUUAAGGCUUGCCAGAGUACAAUUGUCAAAAAAGCUGAAGCUGCAUUACACAGAUAUGCAAAAAAGACGGGACAGGAAUACGAGCUUCAUUUUAUCUGUGAUGUGAAUUCUACAAUACCUGAGCAUGGCGCAUGCUACUGCCCGCACAGCUACAAAUACCCAUUUGCUCACAUGAAUGUCUGGGCAAGACGAAGAGGUUCCCAGAACGUUGAUCAAGUUCCAACGCUCUUCUUCAUCCAGUUUAACAAUAGGGAUGAAGACAUGGAAAGUGUGGCAUUUUUGUGCUGUCCUAUAUUUGAUCUAUCAAAAGAUGCUGGUCGCUGCUAUCAUUGUGAGCAAAAGGGGAUCAAGAUCAUUCAUCCAUCUUCAGAACCAUACAUUGGGCGUGACGCAGAAUUUGAAGGUAUGGCUCGUGGAGAAAGUGCAGUGAACAACAAAGAACUUAUUCGAUAUGGGCAGAUCGGUACUUUGCUUGAUUGUACGAUCGAAGACGAAGACUCCAUCUAUUUUGAUCCUGCCUGGGAUGUUGAUUUUACUAUAUUUAUCAAUGAGACUGCUAGGGAUCGAGCGAUGGUGCAGAAAUUGAUGAAGGAUAGUCCAGGGAGCGUGAGCGACUGGAUAGACAAAAUGAUGUAUGAGGAGUCUUUGAAACCUAAGUUAGCAAGGAAAAUCAUAUACGCCUGA
rnacentral:rRNA from 1 species